rnacentral:rRNA from 1 species
AUCGUAAGGUUUGCUGGAGGUAUCAGAAGUGCGAAUGCUGACAUGAGUAACGACAAAGGGGGUGAAAAACCUCCUCGCCGGAAGACCAAGGGUUCCUGUCCAACGUUAAUCGGGGCAGGGUGAGUCGACCCCUAAGGUGAGGCCGAAAGGCGUAAUCGAUGGGAAACGGGUUAAUAUUCCCGUACUUCUGACUAUUGCGAUGGGGGGACGGAGAAGGCUAGGUGGGCCAGGCGACGGUUGUCCUGGUUCAAGUGCGUAGGCUUGAGAGUUAGGUAAAUCCGGCUCUCUCUAAGGCUGAGACACGACGUCGAGCUACUACGGUAGUGAAGUCAUUGAUGCCAUGCUUCCAGGAAAAGCCUCUAAGCUUCAGAUAGUCAGGAAUCGUACCCCAAACCGACACAGGUGGUCGGGUAGAGAAUACCAAGGCGCUUGAGAGAACUCGGGUGAAGGAACUAGGCAAAAUGGUACCGUAACUUCGGGAGAAGGUACGCUCUUGAUGGUGAAGUCCCUCGCGGAUGGAGCUGACGAGAGUCGCAGAUACCAGGUGGCUGCAACUGUUUAUUAAAAACACAGCACUGUGCAAAAUCGCAAGAUGACGUAUACGGUGUGACGCCUGCCCGGUGCCGGAAGGUUAAUUGAUGGGGUUAGCGCAAGCGAAGCUCUUGAUCGAAGCCCCGGUAAACGGCGGCCGUAACUAUAACGGUCCUAAGGUAGCGAAAUUCCUUGUCGGGUAAGUUCCGACCUGCACGAAUGGCGUAAUGAUGGCCACGCUGUCUCCACCCGAGACUCAGUGAAAUUGAAAUCGCUGUGAAGAUGCAGUGUACCCGCGGCUAGACGGAAAGACCCCGUGAACCUUUACUACAGCUUGGCACUGAACAUUGAACCUACAUGUGUAGGAUAGGUGGGAGGCUAUGAAGACGUGACGCCAGUUGCGUUGGAGCCGUCCUUGAAAUACCACCCUUGUAUGUUUGAUGUUCUAACUUAGCCCCAUUAUCUGGGGUGAGGACAGUGCCUGGUGGGUAGUUUGACUGGGGCGGUCUCCUCCCAAAGAGUAACGGAGGAGCACGAAGGUGGGCUAAUCACGGUUGGACAUCGUGAGGUUAGUGCAAUGGCAUAAGCCCGCUUAACUGCGAGAAUGACGGUUCGAGCAGGUGCGAAAGCAGGUCAUAGUGAUCCGGUGGUUCUGUAUGGAAGGGCCAUCGCUCAACGGAUAAAAGGUACUCCGGGGAUAACAGGCUGAUACCGCCCAAGAGUUCAUAUCGACGGCGGUGUUUGGCACCUCGAUGUCGGCUCAUCACAUCCUGGGGCUGAAGUCGGUCCCAAGGGUAUGGCUGUUCGCCAUUUAAAGUGGUACGCGAGCUGGGUUUAGAACGUCGUGAGACAGUUCGGUCCCUAUCUGCCGUGGGCGUUGGAAGAUUGAAGGGGGCUGCUCCUAGUACGAGAGGACCGGAGUGGACGAACCUCUGGUGUUCGGGUUGUGUCGCCAGACGCAUUGCCCGGUAGCUAAGUUCGGAAUUGAUAAGCGCUGAAAGCAUCUAAGCGCGAAGCGAGCCCUGAGAUGAGUCUUCCCUGAUACUUUAAGUAUCCUAAAGGGUUGUUCGAGACUAGAACGUUGAUAGGCAGGGUGUGUAAGCGUUGUGAGGCGUUGAGCUAACCUGUACUAAUUGCCCGUGAGGCUUAACCAUACAACACCCAAGGGGUUUUGUA